GACGUAGGGCGCGAGCGUUGUCCGGAUUUAUUGGGCGUAAAGAGUUCGUAGGCGGUUCGGUAAGUGAGGUGUGAAAGCCCUCGGCUCCAACCGAGGAAUUGCGCUUCAAACUGCCGGGCUCGAGGGAGAUAGAGGUGAGCGGAACUGAUGGUGGAGCGGUGAAAUGCGUUGAUAUCAUCAGGAACACCAGAGGCGAAGGCGGCUCACUGGGUCUCUUCUGACGCUGAGGAACGAAAGCUAGGGGAGCAAACGGG
rnacentral:rRNA from 1 species